rnacentral:lncRNA from 1 species
GUUCAGUUCUUAGUCACAUUCAAAAAAAGAUCAAAACUGUAUCAUCUAUUCGAUCUUAGAUAUUCAUUCUACUUAUAGUCAGUCAUAAAGAUCAACUUCGAGUGGCAAAGGCAUAGAGUAAUUUCUGAGGCAGCAUGUAUAAAGAUCAAGCUCAUAUCUGUUCCCAAUCAACUAUCCAUAAAGUAGUAGUUCAUUGGCAUUUGUAUGUGCUCAGGCAAUGUCUUUGUGGCAUUGUCUGUGAUCAGUAAAAAAGAAGUAGAAUUCAUUGGUGUUUGUAUGUGCUAAUGCAUUGUCUAUUAUGAGUGAAAGUAGAAUUCAUUGGUACUUGUAUGUGCUCAUGCAUUGUCUAUUAUGAGUGAAAGUAGAAUUCAUUGGUACUUGUAUGUGCUCAUGCAUUGUCUAUUAUGAGUGAAAGUAGAAUUCAUUGGUAUUUGUAUGUGCUCAUGCAUUGUCUGUUUUCCAUACUACUAGAUAGGCUACAGCAGUAGGUUUUGUUUCGAACAUGAUUAGCAUUAAGCAUAGUUUCUGAAACCAAGAGGAGGAGUAGUCAACUUUGGUCUACAAUUGGCUAGGCCAUUUGUUUUACCUUAAAGCAGUAUGCUUUGAUUCAAUUGUGGACAGCAGACUUGAAAACCCAACUUUCAAAGUUGACAUAGACCAUAAAGGUUCUCUUCUUUCUCCCCAUCUGUCUUUUCGCUGCUAGUGA